CCUACGGGAGGCAGCAGUGAGGAAUAUUGCGCAAUGGGCGGAAGCCUGACGCAGCGACGCCGCGUGAGGGAUGAAGGUCUUCGGAUCGUAAAACUCUGUCAGCAGGGAAGAACGGUCACUGUGCUAAUCAGCACUGAAUUGACGGUGCCUGCAAAGGAAGCACCGACUAACUCCGUGCCAGCAGCCGCGGUAAUACGGAGGGUGCGAGCGUUAAUCGGAAUUACUUGGCGUAGAGCGCUCGUAGGCGGUAUGUCAAGUCAAGGGUGAAAUCCCCGAGCUCAACGUGGGAACUGCCUUUGAAACUGGAAAACUGGAGGGGGUGAGAGGAUAGUGGAAGUACAGGGGUAGGAGUGAAAUCCGGAGAGAGCUGGAGGAACAUCAGUGGCGAAGGCGAAUAUCUGGCACAUAACUGAGGCUGAGGAGUGAAAGCGUGGGGAGCAAACAGGAUUAGAUACCCCUGUAGUC
rnacentral:rRNA from 1 species